rnacentral:rRNA from 1 species
AUUGAACGCUGGCGGCAGGUUUAACACAUGCAAGUCGAGCGGUAACAGAGAGAAGCUUGCUUCUCUGCUGACGAGCGGCGGACGGGUGAGUAAUGCCUAGGAAUCUGCCUAGUAGUGGGGGAUAACUUGCCGAAAGGUAAGCUAAUACCGCAUACGUCCUAUGGGAGAAAGGAGGGGACCUUCGGGCCUUUCGCUAUUAGAUGAGCCUAGGUCGGAUUAGUUAGUUGGUGAAGUAAUGGCUCACCAAGACCGCGGUCCGUAACUGGUCUGGGGCGAUGAUCAGUCACACUGGAAAUGAGACACGGUCCAGACUCCUACGGGAAGCAGCAGUGGGGAAUAUUGGACAAUGGGGGGAACCCUGAUGCAGCCAUGCCGCGUGUGUGAAGAAGGUCUAAGGAUUGUAAAGCACUUUAAGUUGGGAGGAACAGCAGUUAACUAUUAUUUGACUGUUUUGACGUUACCGACAGAAUAAGCACCGGCUAACUUCGUGCCAGCAGCCGCCGUAA